UACGGAGGGUGCGAGCGUUGUCCGGAAUCAUUGGGCGUAAAGCGCGUGUAGGCGGCUCGAUAAGUCUGCUGUGAAAGUCCAGGGCUCAACCCUGGGAUGCCGGUGGAUACUGUCGAGCUCGAGUCCGGAAGAGGCGAGUGGAAUCCUGGUGUAGCAGUGAAAUGCGUAGAUAUCAGGAGGAACACCGAUGGCGAAGGCAGGUCUCUGGGCUGACACUGACGCUCAUGCACGAAAGCGUGGGGAGCAAACGAGG
rnacentral:rRNA from 1 species